CGACCUCAGAUCAGGUGAGAUCACCUGCUAAAUUUAAGCAUAUCAAUAAGCG
rnacentral:rRNA from 1 species